GGGUGCAGCAGGCGCGAAACCUUUACACUGCACGCGAGUGCGAUAAGGGGACUCCAGGUGCGAGGGCAUAUAGUCCUCGCUUUUCUCAACCNUAGGGAGGUUGAGGAACAAGUGCUGGGCAAGACCGGUGCCAGCCGCCGCGGUAAUACCGGCAGCACAAGUGAUGACCGCUGUUAUUGGGCCUAAAGCGUCCGUAGCUGGCCAGACAAGUUCAUCGGGAAAUCUGCGCGCCUAACGCGCAGGCGUCCGGUGGAAACUGCCUGGCUUGGGACCGGAAGACCAGAGGGGUACGUCUGGGGUAGGAGUGAAAUCCCGUAAUCCUGGACGGACCACCGGUGGCGAAAGCGCCUCUGGAAGACGGAUCCGACGGUGAGGGACGAAAGCUCGGGUCACGAACCGGAUUAGAUACCCGGGUAGUCCGAGCUGUAAACGAUGUCUGCUAGGUGUGACACAGGCUACGAGCCUGUGUUGUGCCGUAGGGAAGCCGUGAAGCAGACCGGGUGCAGCAGGCGCGAAACCUUUACACUGCACGCGAGUGCGAUAAGGGGACUCCAGGUGCGAGGGCAUAUAGUCCUCGCUUUUCUCAACCNUAGGGAGGUUGAGGAACAAGUGCUGGGCAAGACCGGUGCCAGCCGCCGCGGUAAUACCGGCAGCACAAGUGAUGACCGCUGUUAUUGGGCCUAAAGCGUCCGUAGCUGGCCAGACAAGUUCAUCGGGAAAUCUGCGCGCCUAACGCGCAGGCGUCCGGUGGAAACUGCCUGGCUUGGGACCGGAAGACCAGAGGGGUACGUCUGGGGUAGGAGUGAAAUCCCGUAAUCCUGGACGGACCACCGGUGGCGAAAGCGCCUCUGGAAGACGGAUCCGACGGUGAGGGACGAAAGCUCGGGUCACGAACCGGAUUAGAUACCCGGGUAGUCCGAGCUGUAAACGAUGUCUGCUAGGUGUGACACAGGCUACGAGCCUGUGUUGUGCCGUAGGGAAGCCGUGAAGCAGACC
rnacentral:rRNA from 1 species